UGGUAUGUGAAAUCCCCGGGCUUAACCUGGGAACUGCGUUUGCAACUGGCGAGCUUGAGUGUGGGUAAAGGGGGUGGAAUUUCCGGUGGUACUGUGAAAUGGCUUAAGAUCUGGGAGAACACCGAUGGCCAAAGCAGCACCUGGGCCUGGCUGGCCCUUAAGCAGCAAAACCUGGGGAACCAAACGGAAUAAAAACCCCGGUUAUCCCCUCCCUAAAACAAUUCUAAUGAUUUUUGGGGAAUCUAAUCUCUGGUCACGACGCUACCGCCUGGAUUUGACCGCCUGGUGAGUACUGCCGCCACGUUGAAACUCCUAAGAAUUGAUGGGGACCCCCCCCACCAGCGGAUUAUCUGGAUUAUUUCUUUGCAGCUCCAAAAACAUUCCUUACCCUUCAUGAGUUGGGAAUCCCAAGGAAACUUGGGUGUGCCCAACUUGGAGCCCCAUCACAGGUGCUGCAUGGCUGUCGUCAGCUCGUGUCGUGAGAUGUUCGGUUAAGUCCCGCAACGAGCGCAACCCU
rnacentral:rRNA from 1 species